ACAGCCACCACUCCAGGCCAUUCAACGCCACACCCUAGGCCGUUCAUUGCCAGCAGCACCCUGGAUCCCACCCCUCACCCUACGAGUUUCAGUUAUCGACAGUCCUACUUCUCCAUGAUGACAAGGACGACGUCGCCAUGCGUGCACGCUCCAACCUGUCCCCUGUCGCAGCCCCACCACUCGUUGCCGAUGCACUCUAACCCGAGGACCACCAUGAUGGAGGUCGCCUCACAGCCUAGCGACGAGUGUUUGUUGGUUUCUCUUUCAUUUACGGACAUCUUGGGCUUGCUGGGUGCAGAUCAAAAAGCCCAAUCAUCAUCAGGGAUGAAAAAAGGAGAGAAGCACGGGAAGAGGUACUAGUAGAAGAGGUAGAAGUAAUGUGAAAAUGAGAUAAAUGUGAGAAUAGCAAGUAUUAAAUCAUGAGAGGGAUUCAGA